UACAUGGGGUGCAAACGUUGCUCGGAAUUAUUGGGCGUAAAGCGCACGUAGGCGGUUCGUUAAGUCGGAUGUGAAAGCCCUCGGCUCAACUGAGGAAGUGCACCCGAAACUGGCGAGCUUGAGUACGAAAGAGGAUCGCGGAAUUCCCGGUGUAGAGGUGAAAUUCGUAGAUAUUCGCAAGAACACCAGUGGCGAAGGCGGCUCACUGGCCCGGUACUGACGCUGAGGUGCGAAAGCGUGGGGAGCAAACAGG
rnacentral:rRNA from 1 species